rnacentral:lncRNA from 1 species
ACUGUGUAUGUCAAAUGACUUGUCAGAAUUCUCACAGCUGUCACACAGACAUGUCCUCAAACAUUUAUUGACCAGUAUGCCUCUGAAAGUCUUUGGGUGAAGCUGAUUCUGAUUCCACGGGUGGGGAGUUUGGGAUACAGUUCAGAGACUGCACAGUUGAUUCUUGGUGGGCUCCCUCACUUGUGUGCUGUUCUCUACCCCAGUAGGCUUAUAGCUCUCUAGCGCUACAAUCUCCCACUCUCUCCCAAUGCCUCAUGUUCCAA